GACGUAGGGGGCGAGCGUUGUCCGGAUUUAUUGGGCGUAAAGAGCGCGUAGGCGGCCCGGAAAGUCGGAUGUGAAAGCCCCCAGCUCAACUGGGGAAGUGCCGUGGAUACUGCCGGCCUCGAGGGAGGUAGGGGCGUGUGGAACUUCCGGUGGAGCGGUGAAAUGCGUAGAUAUCGGAAGGAACGCCGGUGGCGAAAGCGACGCGCUGGACCUCUUCUGACGCUGAGGCGCGAAAGCCAGGGGAGCAAACGGG
rnacentral:rRNA from 1 species